UACGUAGGGGGCAAGCGUUGUCCGGAUUUAUUGGGCGUAAAGAGCGUGUAGGCGGCCACACAGGUCUGCUGUGAAAACUCGAGGCUCAACCUCGAGCUGUCGGUGGAAACCGUGUGGCUAGAGUCCGGAAGAGGAGAGUGGAAUUCCCGGUGUAGCGGUGAAAUGCGCAGAUAUCGGGAAGAACACCCGUGGCGAAGGCGGCUCUCUGGGACGGUACUGACGCUGAGGAGCGAAAGCGUGGGGAGCAAACAGG
rnacentral:rRNA from 1 species